rnacentral:rRNA from 1 species
GAAUAUUGGGCAAUGGACGCAAGUCCGACCCAGCCAUGCCGCGUGAAGGAUGAAGGUCCUCUGGAUUGUAAACUUCUUUUUUCUGGGGCGAAAACUGGUUUUUCUAGAUCAUUUGACAGUACCAGAAGAAUAAGCACCGGCUAACUCCGUGCCAGCAGCCGCGGUAAUACGGAGGGUGCAAGCGUUAUCCGGAUUCACUGGGUUUAAAGGGUGCGUAGGUGGGCAGGUAAGUCAGUGGUGAAAUCCCCGAGCUUAACUUGGGAACUGCCGUUGAUACUAUCUGUCUUGAAUAUCGUGGAGGUAAGCGGAAUAUGUCAUGUAGCGGUGAAAUGCUUAGAGAUGACAUAGAACACCAAUUGCGAAGGCAGCUUGCUACACGGUAAUUGACACUGAGGCACGAAAGCGUGGGGAGCAAACAGG